rnacentral:rRNA from 1 species
CGCCCUUGGGUCUGCGUCUCAUUAGCUAGUUGGUAGGGUAAUGGCCUACCAAGGCAACGAUGAGUAACUGGUCUGAGAGGAUGAUCAGUCACACUGGAACUGAAACACGGUCCAGACUCCUACGGGAGGCAGCAGUGGGGAAUAUUGCGCAAUGGGCGAAAGCCUGACGCAGCAACGCCGUGUGAGGGAUGAAGGCUUUCGGGUCGUAAACCUCUGUCAGAAGGGAAGAACGGGUAAUGGUCUAAUAGGCCGUUAUUUUGACGGUACCUUCAGAGGAAGCACCGGCUAACUCCGUGCCACCAGCCGCGGUAAUACGGAGGGUGCAAGCGUUAUUCGGAAUUACUGGGCGUAAAGCGCACGUAGGCCGCUUUGUAAGUCAGGGGUGAAAUCCCACGGCUCAACCGUGGAACUGCCUUUGAAACUGCAGAGCUUGAAUCCUGGAGAGGGUGGCGGAAUUCCUGGUGUAGGAGUGAAAUCCGUAGAUAUCAGGAGGAACACCGGUGGCGAAGGCGGCCACCUGGACAGGCAUUGACGCUGAGGUGCGAAAGUGUGGGGAGCAAACAGGAUUAGAUACCCUGGUAGUCCACACCGUAAACGAUGAACACUAGAUGCCGGAC